GACGAGCAUCACAAACGUUAUUCGGAAUUACUGGGCUUAAAGGGUGCGUAGGCGGUGCAGUAAGUCGGGAGUGAAAUCCCACAGCUCAACUGUGGAAUUGCUUUCGAUACUGCUGUGCUUGAGUGAGAUAGAGGUAAGCGGAACUUAGGGUGGAGCGGUGAAAUGCGUUGAUAUCCUAAGGAACACCGGUGGCGAAGGCGGCUUACUGGGUCUCUACUGACGCUGAUGCACGAAAGCCAGGGUAGCGAACGGG
rnacentral:rRNA from 1 species